CGUUAAGAAGCUUUAAGUAAGCAACAACCUUUUAAGUUGAAGAUGGUGCCUACAACCACCCUUAAUGA
rnacentral:tRNA from 1 species